rnacentral:rRNA from 1 species
CACGUAGGGCGCAAGCGUUGUCCGGAAUUAUUGGGCGUAAAGAGCUCGUAGGCGGUCUGUUGCGUCCGCUGUGAAAACUCGGGGCUUAACCCCGAGCCUGCAGUGGAUACGGGCAGACUAGAGGUAGGUAGGGGAGAAUGGAAUUCCAGGUGUAGCGGUGAAAUGCGUAGAUAUCUGGAGGAACACCGGUGGCGAAGGCGGCAUCCUGGACCGGUAUUGACGCUGAUGCGCGAAAGCCAGGGGAGCAAACGGG